GACGAACGCUGGCGGCGUGCUUAACACAUGCAAGUCGAACGGAAAGGCCCGGCUUUUGUUGGGUGCUCGAUUGGCGAACGGGUGAGUAACACGUGAGUAACCUGCCCUUGACUUUGGGAUAACUUCAGGAAACUGGGGCUAUUACCGGAUAGGAUCUCCUGCUGCAUGGUGGGGGUUGGAAAGUGUCGGCUGUUGGGGAUGGACUCGAGGCUUAUCAGCUUGUUGGUGUGGUAGUGGCUGACCAAGGCUUUGACGGGUAGCCGGCAUGAGAGGGUGACCGGGCACAUUGGGACUGAGAUACGGAGCAGAAUGGUACGGGAGGCAGAAGUGGGGAACAUUGCACAAUGGGCGGGAGCGUGAUGAAGAAAUGCUGCGUGCGGGAUGACGGCCUACGGGUUGUAAACAGCUUUCGAAUGUGACGAAGCCUGAGUGACGGUAAUGGGUAAGGAAGCCACGGCUAACUACGUG
rnacentral:rRNA from 1 species